AGAGUUUGAUCCUGGCUCAGGAUGAACGCUAGCGGCAGGCUUAAUACAUGCAAGUCGAGGGGCAGCAGCUUUAUAGCAAUAUAGAGGCUGGCGACCGGCAAACGGGUGCGGAACACGUACACAACCUUCCUUGAAUAGGGGGAUAGCCCAUAGAAAUGUGGAUUAAUACCCCGUAAUAUAGCGGUGUGGCAUCACACUGUUAUUAUAGUUUCGACGAUUCGAGAUGGGUGUGCGGCUGAUUAGGUAGUUGGCGGGGUAAAGGCCCACCAAGCCUUCGAUCAGUAGCUGAUGUGAGAGCAUGAUCAGCCACACGGGCACUGAGACACGGGCCCGACUCCUACGGGAGGCAGCAGUAAGGAAUAUUGGUCAAUGGACGCAAGUCUGAACCAGCCAUGCCGCGUGAAGGAUGAAGGUCCUCUGGAUUGUAAACUUCUUUUAUAGGGGGCGAAAAAAGGUUUUUCUAAAUCACUUGACAGUACCCUAUGAAUAAGCACCGGCUAACUCCGUGCCAGCAGCCGCGGUAAUACGGAGGGUGCAAGCGUUAUCCGGAUUCACUGGGUUUAAAGGGUGCGUAGGCGGGUAGGUAAGUCAGAGGUGAAAUCCUGGAGCUUAACUCCAGAACUGCCUUUGAUACUAUCUAUCUUGAAUAUG
rnacentral:rRNA from 1 species